UACGGAGGGAGCUAGCGUUAUUCGGAAUUACUGGGCGUAAAAGCGCACGUAGGCGGCUUUGUAAGUAAGAGGUGAAAGCCCAGAGCUCAACUCUGGAAUUGCCUUUAAGACUGCAUCGCUUGAAUCCAGGAGAGGUGAGUGGAAUUCCGAGUGUAGAGGUGAAAUUCGUAGAUAUUCGGAAGAACACCAGUGGCGAAGGCGGCUCACUGGACUGGUAUUGACGCUGAUGUGCGAAAGCGUGGGGAGCAAACAGGG
rnacentral:rRNA from 1 species